rnacentral:misc_RNA from 1 species
AAGAUCAUUUCAAGCUCUUGAAGGUGUAUGCUUGGAAUUUAAUUGAUUUAAUACUACCAUUGUCAAGCAGCGAUUAAGCUAGUAUACUAAUGUAGCUGUCCCAAAAUAAACAAGAAUUGCUGAUGGAGCUUUUACAUGGGGAGCUGAAGACAAAGAUAAUUAGAGUAAAUAAAUAUUUAAGCUGAUUAUGAAACCUAUCCAUAAUUAAAAUAAGUGUAAUUCUAGUUCUUGAUCAGGUUGCGUUCAGCUUUAUUUACAACUAGAGU